rnacentral:rRNA from 1 species
UGGAAAAAAACCUUAAGCUUUAACUUUGGGAAUUGCAUUUGAAACUUAAAUUUCCUAGAAGUUUUGAGAAGGGAGGUAGAAUUUCUUAGGUGUUAGCGGGUGAAAUGGCUAGAUUUCUAAGAGGAAUACCCAGGGGGGGAAGGCGGCCCCCCUGGACAAAAGACUGACAACUCAUGUACGAAAGCGUGGGGGAGCAAACAGGGAUUAGAUACCCUUGGUAGUCCAUGCUGUAAAACAAUGUCAAUUUGAAAGGUUUGUAGCCUUGAGUUAUAGCUUUCGUAGCUAACGCGUUAAAUUUGCCCGCCCUGGGGAGUACGGCCCGCAAGGUUAAAACUCAAAUGAAUUGACGGGGGCCCGCACAAGCGGUGGAGCAUGUGGUUUAAUUCGAUGCAACGCGAAAAACCUUACCUAUUCUUGACAUCCAAAGAAUAAAACAGAAAUGUUUUAGUGCCUUAGGGAACUUUGAGACAGGUGCUGCAUGGCUGUCGUCAGCUCGUGUUGUGAAAUGUUGGGUUAAGUCCCGCAACGAGCGCAACCCCUAUCCUUUGUUGCCAUCGAGUAAAGUCGGGAACUCAAAGGAGACUGCUGGUGAUAAACCGGAGGAAGGUGGGGACGACGUCAAGUCAUCAUGGCCCUUACGAAUAGGGCUACACACGUGCUACAAUGGCAUAUACAAAGAGAAGCGAUCUUGCAAAAGCUAGCAAAUCUCAUAAAGUAUGUCGUAGUUCGGAUUGGAGUCUGCAACUCGACUCCAUGAAGUCGGAAUCGCUAGUAAUCGUUGGUCAGAAUGCUACGGUGAAUACGUUCCCGGGCCUUGUCCUCGCCGCCCGUC